CCAACGGCCCUCUUUAGGGCCACCAAUAGCAUAGACCAAACUUAAU
rfam:Anisakis simplex genome assembly, scaffold: ASIM_scaffold0000025